rnacentral:lncRNA from 1 species
UCAGCUUAAAACAGGGAUCCAACUGGAGACACACCCAAACGAAUUAAACCCGCAGUGCCUCAGCGCGCACGCGCACACUGCGGAGGCUCUUCCCGCCGCUCUCAGGCGGGAAUGUAACGGUUGCGCAUGCGUCCUUUGUCUCCGGCGCCUUCCCGCCCCCGCCUUUUCGCGCUAAAGAGGAAGUGAGGGCGGGGAAAAGCCGCGCGCGCCCGAAAAGCAGCAAGCAAGUCAGGGAUGGGGGAAGGGCCCCCGCGGGAAGACAGCAGUCUGAAAGCGCCACGCUGCAGGUUUUGCGCAGGGUGUGAUGAUUGGAGACCGGAUUCCAGAGAGAUCCGAGUGCUUCCCUUCUGCCCCAAACCACGGACGUCCCCAGCAUCAUGGGGCCCAAGCUCUUCCGCACGCGCACCCCUCGAUCAUAGCCCCGGGCGAGCUCCUCCCUCCCCUCCAUCUCCCCUCUCCAGACCAAACCACUCACCAUGAUAGCUACGGGUUAGAAGGCGAGGGUGAUAGAAGCAGACACCGGGUCCCGGUUACCGUUCCCGACAACUAAGAGUCGAGAAUGUGGAUCAGUGACAACCCUGAGUCACAUGCUGACGAUGGAGGAGGACAGAACAUAGGUCGGCCGUGACGCUGCAGAGCUAUGGAAGCCUUGGCCUGCUGCAUUGGCUGAGCACAUCAGUAAUAAACCCGAGUCCAAUAAUGCAUUGGGGACACGAUUGGGAAAGAAAUCAAAGCCUUUCCCCUUGGUGACAUUUAACCCAGAGUGAGCCCAGACUCAAAUUCUCUGCUCGAUUCUUCCUGUGUGUCCUCUGUCUGUCCUGAGUGCUGUCCCGCGUCUGCUCCUGUGUGCUCCUAAUAAAGUGUUCUGCUCUUGCUUUCAUUGGCCAGCACAGAAAGCAUCAAAUAGGAAAGGAAUGGAGGGUACUUCAUAGAAGUCUUUUAAGAGUUUUACAAGAAUGAAGUCACCGACCCAGAUAGCAAAUGCUGCCAAGCACAUCCUCAUGCUGCCUCAGCGUUUACAGUGGAUAUUUGUUUCAUAAAGUUGCCUUUCGCCU